rnacentral:rRNA from 1 species
GACGAACGCUGGCGGCGUGCUUAACACAUGCAAGUCGAGCGAAUGGAUUAAGAGCUUGCUCUUAUGAAGUUAGCGGCGGACGGGUGAGUAACACGUGGGUAACCUGCCCAUAAGACUGGGAUAACUCCGGGAAACCGGGGCUAAUACCGGAUAAUAUUUUGAACUGCAUGGUUCAAAAUUGAAAGGCGGCUUCGGCUGUCACUUAUGGAUGGACCCGCGUCGCAUUAGCUAGUUGGUGAGGUAACGGCUCGCCAAGGCAACGAUGCGUAGCCGACCUGGGAGGGUGAUCGGCCACACUGGGACUGAGACACGGCCCAGACUCCUACGGGAGGCAGCAGUAGGGAAUCUUCCGCAAUGGACGAAAGUCUGACGGAGCAACGCCGCGUGAGUGAUGAAGGCUUUCGGGUCGUAAAACUCUGUUGUUAGGGAAGAACAAGUGCUAGUUGAAUAAGCUGGCACCUUGACGGUACCUAACCAGAAAGCCACGGCUAACUACGUGCCAGCCGCCGCGGUAA